rnacentral:lncRNA from 1 species
AGGCCAAAAUCUGCCCUCCAGAAGCUUUAUAACCCCAAUCCUUACUUCUCCAAGACUUGAAAACAUUUAAUUCAAGAUCACUGUGCCCAAGACGGCCUCCAACCUUCCCAUCACCAAGUCCUUCUCUAUUUAUGAGCAAAAGUUCAUCACUGCCUACCUGAAAAAUCAGUAAUGGGGAAUAAUCCAAGAGCCAAUUCUUUUAGUUUUUUCCCCAGGGGCUCUUUUUGGAGAGCUGCUCCUUUGGGGUCUCUGUUCUGUUGUUUUUGAGGGGCUUUUUGGUGGGGGAUGUGCCUUUUUUGUGUCCUUUUAUUUUUUUGAGGGGCUGCCCUAUUUUGUUUGGAUUCUACCUAUUUUUGAGGGGUUCUUUUUUGAGUGCUGCCCUUUGUUGGAAAGAGUUUUUCCCUUUUUUUGGGGGGCAGGGCUCUUUUUUUGAGGGAAUUGCCCUUUUGGGGUCUUUUUUUCUGAGGAGGACCUCUUUCUGCAUGGCCACCUUCUUUUUUAUUAUUAUUAUUAGUCUUUAAUUUUUAAGCAGGUCUUUUGGGGGAGUGCCCUUUUUUUUUUUCAGUCGGGUGCCAGCCUUUUGGGGCACUUUUCUUUCCCUUUCUUUUUCUUUCUUUCUUUCUUUCUUUUCUUUCUUUCUUUCGUUUGUUUUUGAGGGGGUCUUUUUUGGGGGCAGCCUUUUUUUAUUAUUAUUUUUUUUUUAUUUGGGCUGGGCCUUUUUUCUUAUAUUUGGUCAGGUUUCUGGAUUUUUAUUUAUUUAUUUAUUUUUGAUUGUUGAUGGUGGUCCAGCCUUUUGGAGGUUAGGGUUUGGGGAGAUCUUGUUGGUCUUCCAUUUUUCAGGUGGGAUGUCUUCAUCAGGGUCCCAACCUUCUGGGGGUUGGGUAUUUUUGAGGGGAACUAUUCUGGUCUGGUCAGACAUUUUUGGGGGGCUUCAUUUUUGAGGAACAGUCUCACACAAGCUGUUUAUUUCUUUGGUUUGUAUGCCUGUUUUGUGAUUUUAUUUUUUAUUUUUUAUUGUUUUUCCUGCAGGGGAACCAGCCUUUUUUUGUUAAGAUUUUUUGGCAGAUUUGUCAGAUUUUUUGUUUUUUCUUUUCCAGGAUGGGUCAAAAUCUAUUUUAUUUUUUUUUUUGUUAGUUGUUGGUGUUGCUUUUUUUGUUUGUUUGUUUUUACUUCUUUAACUAAUGAAAGCAGUCUUUCUUGGACUUACCUUUCUUCUUUUCACAUUGGCACCUGCAUUAUUUGGCCUGAACUGCUCAAUACAGAACUUACUUUCUUUUUUUUCCCACCUUUGUAACUGCCCAUCACAGUUAUAGAUCAAAGCAGUUCUUCCCAACACAAGAAAUGUCCUCCCUGGACAGGCAGAUGAGCACGGGCUUGUCUGAACUUCAUUCCUAAUUCAAGUUUACAUACGAAUAUGUUCAGAAACCACUUACUCUGAAAACCAAGAACGAUACAGUGGAAAAAGCUCUCCUCACACUACGCACAACCGAGAACUGUAGCAACCCCACCUGCCAGUGAAGCUGGUUUAUUCCCAGCAAGUUCAGCAGAACUUGCAACACAGGUAGUCUAUAAAAUCAGAAGCAGAUUUUGUAUUGCAGCAGGUAAAAUGGAAGGCUGUAAAGACAUCUCAUGGCACUUGCAGUUAAAUAAGAACUGAACUAUUGCAGUCAAAUAUUGUACUCUUCUGAAAACAGUAAAAGCCCGAAGCUUUGGUAGUACCUAUCCUCCUUUAGAAAAAUAAAAAUUGUUUUCAACCUCUGACA